ACAGCUAAUGCAUUAAUAGACGCUUUCCAAAAGUUGCAACGAAAGACUGAUGAAGUAGCAGAAGUAACUUUGCAAAAUAGACGUGUGCUAAAUGCCAUGAAUGCUGAAUUAGAGAAGGGCUUGUGCUCGCAUUGGGGAAAAAUGUUGCUUUGCUGUUAAUCACUCUGGCUUAAUUGACAAAGAUUUACAAGCUAUUAAGAAUGUUGCUGUUGUUUUCCAUGCUAUAUCUCUUGAUCACACUUUUAGUUUUAAGGACCUCCACUCAGACCUUGGGUCAUGGUUUACUAGCCUCCCCCGUACAAUUGUUAAAUGGAUAUGUGUCCCAAGAGUCCCAUUAUGGUCCUCUAGGGACAAAGGGGGGAUUGUUAGGCCUGAAUAAAGAUAUAGCAGACAAAACCAGGUAUGCCAACCUGACCAGAGUCAGGCUAACAGAGGUUUGUGGGUAAUCCCUGAGUGGAAAACACUGAGAAGCAGCAGCAUGUCUCACAAGCGCUGGGAAAAAGUGAGAUAAGAGAGAAGCUGCAUUCCUGGCAUAGUACCAGAUGUGCUGUGUUCGGGCAGCUCCUUCGAAGAACUGAUAAGAGUCCUAGUUUCCCAGCCUCCUUGUUUUCGCUCCCUGGUUUUCCUCCCUGGUUUUGUUCUUUGUUUGUUUUUAACUCCCCUACAUUUCUAACUUUAGGCAUGCAUGUAUACUAAAGGUGUCUAGUUUCUAGUUGUUAGAAGAAGGGGGUGGGUUGCUCCAGUGAAUAAUUUAUGACGCGACGGAACUGUCUAUAUAGGCUUAUACUAAGAUGUAAAGAGCAGGCUGGUUCUCUCUGGAGACGAGCUGCUCUCUAUUGAUGCGUGCACUUGUCAAUAAAGAGCUUUUGAUCGGA